GACGAGUGGGGAACUGGUGAGUAACACGUGGGUAACCUGCCCUUGAAGUAGGGGAUAGCACUUGGAAACAGGUGCUAAUACCGUAUAACAACCAAAACCACCUGGUUUUGGUUUAAAAGACGGCUUCGGCUGUCACUUUAGGAUGGACCCGCGGCGUAUUAGCUUGUUGGUAAGGUAACGGCCUACCAAGGCGAUGAUACGUAGCCGACCUGAGAGGGUAAUCGGCCACAUUGGGACUGAGACACGGCCCAAACUCCUACGGGAGGCAGCAGUAGGGAAUCUUCCACAAUGGACGAAAGUCUGAUGGAGCAACGCCGCGUGAGUGAUGAAGGGUUUCGGCUCGUAAAACUCUGUUGUUGGAGAAGAACAGGUGUCAGAGUAACUGUUGACAUCUUGACGGUAUCCAACCAGAAAGCCACGGCUAACUACGUGCCAGCAGCCGCGGUAAUACGUAGGUGGCAAGCGUUGUCCGGAUUUAUUGGGCGUAAAGCGAGCGCAGGCGGUUUUUUAGGUCUGAUGUGAAAGCCUUCGGCUUAACCGGAGAAGUGCAUCGGAAACCGGGAGACUUGAGUGCAGAAGAGGACAGUGGAACUCCAUGUGUAGCGGUGAAAUGCGUAGAUAUAUGGAAGAACACCAGUGGCGAAGGCGGCUGUCUGGUCUGUAACUGACGCUGAGGCUCGAAAGCAUGGGUAGCGAACAGGAUUAGAUACCCUGGUAGUCCAUGCCGUAAACGAUGAGUG
rnacentral:rRNA from 1 species